GUCUGAUUAACGGCUCAUGUAAAGACCUCCUGCUGAGGAGGCCAUUCAUGCUGUUCCAGAAAUUUUGAGCUAAUUGCACAAAAGGUGAAGCUCCAGUACAACAACAAUUGAUUCGGCCUCAGGCUCUACACAGCGGAGAACAGUUCAUGAAAACUGAGGACUCGGCAUGUGAUUGCAGACCCUUAAUCCAGCUAAAAUACCAUGGUGCCUGACCUCAUUAGAAAAAAGCCACAAAACACAUCUCAUUGGAUUGUUUCUUGCUGUGUCCUGCAAAAUACUGGGAGCUUGGCCAACCAGCCAGAUAUGUCUCCCUCCUGUAGAGUGCCGUGUUUUCUUCUCUGCCUUGGAAACACUCAUAGACCCAGAAUGAACUCCUAUAAACUCAUGGGGAGGACAACUUAUGGCUUACACUGUAAUUAAUACAUUGAAGUAAUAUGCUUGGAGAAUAUAUAGAGGUAAUAUGCUUGCAGCCAUAGUGAUUAAAGCUGAUACAGGGCUUGUAGGGUGAGGAAGUAAGGCAAACAGGCUAGGCACAAGGCAGGGAGUUAUCAUGGGCCAGGAGAAUUCAUAAGCUGGCUAUCAAUAUUUCUCUUAGAUAUUAAAUCUUCUGAGAAGUUAGUGCAUACCAAUGGCACAGGUGCAAGGCUGCCAGCCUGGACACCUGCCUGACACCUCACCCUUGCUCUCUCAGCAAGUCUGUUCCACUUCCAAGAGUAAGUUUAAGUUGCACCCAAAGUGGUGCAGAUUUUGCAUAUGGCAAAGGCAUGCCUUUGCUUCCAAAGUCUAACAGCUUCCCUGGUGCAGACAAGCUUUUAGUUCUGUAGGAUACCAGUAACAGACAGUUCUUGUUCCAAACGUGAUUAUUCGGAUGCUAAGGGCUGUGGACUGAGAACCUGCCUUGAAAUUCAUGUAUGGGAAAGGUGAAGAACACCAGAAUUUCUGUGUAUGUAUGUGGCUUAAUUCUUUACAGUGGUGGUCUGUAACCCAUAGGUCAUGGAUGACGUGGUCUUACAAGGUGGCUUGGUUUCCACAGAGAGCUUCAUCUUCAGUACAGAGAGGGCAGGCCGUUGUGUCAAAACACCGACUUCUUUCCCUUGCUCUUCUCACUUCAGCACAGUGUCCUUGACAAGCCAGAAAUCCGCCCAUUCACUGUUUCAAGCAAUUAAAAUGAUGACACAGCCAUCAACCCCCACACAACCAGUUGGCGAAAGCACUAUGCAAUGGAAACUCCGGUCUUCCGCAAGUAAAUUUGUAUGUAGUUUGGCAGAGAGCAGCCCUGCUGACUUCCCAGGCCGAUGCUGCUUUGUUACUCAAACAUAAGCGUCUAAAACCAGCAUUAGGCACCGAGAGCCGCGCCAAAGCCGACUGCUGUCGUCGUAUAAUAAAACAGCAUGUUGAGGUUUGCUAUUCUAAUUG
rnacentral:lncRNA from 1 species